rnacentral:rRNA from 1 species
GACGAACGCUGGCGGCGUGCUUAACACAUGCAAGUCGAACGAUGAAGCCGGAGCUUGCUCUGGUGAAUUAGUGGCGAACGGGUGAGUAACACGUGAGUAACCUGCCCUUGACCCUGGGAUAACUGCGGGAAACUGUAGCUAAUACCGGAUACGACCCUCGGAGGCAUCUCCUGGGGGUGGAAAGAAUUUCGGUCAAGGAUGGACUCGCGGCCUAUCAGCUAGUUGGUGAGGUAAAGGCUCACCAAGGCGACGACGAGUAGCCGGCCUGAGAGGGUGACCGGCCACACUGGGACUGAGACGCGGCCCAGACUCCUACGGGGGGCAGCAGUGGGGAAUAUUGCACAAUGGGCGCAAGCCUGAUGCAGCAACGCCGCGUGAGGGAUGACGGCCUUCGGGUUGUAAACCUCUUUUAGCAGGGAAGAAGCGAAAGUGACGGUACCUGCAGAAAAAGCACCGGCUAACUACGUGCCAGCCGCCGCAGUAA